rnacentral:rRNA from 1 species
GAGAUUUUCGCAAUGCCCGAAAGGGUGACGAAGCGACGCCGCGUGCGGGAAGAAGGCCUUCGGGUUGUAAACCGCUGUCGGGAGUUAAGAAAUGCAAGGAUGUUAAUAGCAUCUUUGCUUGACUAAGGCUCCGGAGGAAGCCACGGCUAACUCUGUGCCAGCAGCCGCGGUAAUACAGAGGCGGCAAGCGUUGUUCGGAAUUAUUGGGCGUAAAGAGCACGUAGGCGGCUAUGUAAGUCGGUUGUGAAAGCCUUCCGCUCAACGGGAGAACAGCAUCCGAUACUGCAUGGCUUGAGUGCGGGAGGGGAGAGUGGAACUUCUGGUGGAGCGGUGAAAUGCGCAGAUAUCAGAAGGAACGCCGGCGGCGAAAGCGGCUCUCUGGCCCAUAACUGACGCUGAGUGUGCGAAAGCUAGGGGAGCAAACGGGAUUAGAUACCCCGGUAGUCCUAGCCGUAAACGAUGGGCACUAAGUAGAGGGGUUUUA